ACUAAAGGUGAUAAAAUAUGAUUUAUAGUAAAUACAAUAGUGUUUUUGAUCCAUACUAUUGUAAAGUGCGUUCAUAUCAUACUAUUUACCACUCUUUGUUGAUGAAUGUGCCAUGAUACUAGUAUUAAUAACCACACUGAAUUGAUAAACACAGUAGUACACUUUCAUUUUUUAUUACAGUAAACUGUUAUUUUCUGUUACUGAUAAAUAAAUUAGUAUCUGUAGUAAAACUGGUUGUAAAAACGAUAGCUAAACAAUACAUCAAAACAUGGUCAGUAGCAGAGUUGCUUGCGUUUGAACUUAAAUCUUAUGAAUGCGUAUGCUAAAAAUCUAGUUAACAAUAGAGCAAAAGUUAAAUUGUGCUGGAUUUGACUGCAACACUUGGCUUGUCAUAAAUUUGAGGAAGCGACAUCUCACAAUUUAUAGAGGUGUGAAAAUGGGAGGAAGUUCAAUACAGACAGAAGACAUCCGUCACUGGGCUUUUUAUCUGGUUAUAAUACAGAAAGCAAUCAGCAGAGUUUAUUUGAGAUUACUAACACACUCCUGUGUCAGUAAUUUCUUAAUGCCGAAUUUUCAGAUUUCUUAAGUGUUUCAAUCUCAUACUCUUGAAAAAUGUUUCACAUGAUUAUUUACUUCUGUUUGUUGCAUCUGGCUGGUAAGUGUUAAAAAAAUGAAUGACUUCAAGUUUGGUUAACUAUAUCUAGUAUUUAUUCUUGUUUUGGUGUGUUUUAUACAGACGGAGUGAAAAGGGUGUCAGUGAUGGAGGGAGAUUCUGUCACUCUGCAUAUUAAUCAGACUUUUACUGAUAGAAGACAUUAUCGGAAUCCUUUAUUGUGGACUGGACCUGAAGAGACAGACUACAGAUCGACAGUCAGACUGGAUCUCUGACCAUUAGCAACAUCAGAAGCACAGACUCUGGACUUUACGAACUUCAUGGAGACUUAAGCAAAUUAUUGUUCGAUGUUACUGUCUAUGCUCGUCUGCCCAAUCCAGUCAUCACCAGAGACUCUUGUAACUCUUCAUCAUCCAGUUGUUCAGUGUUGUGUUCAGUGUUGAAUGCGAGUGCUGUGAGUCUCUGUGAGUUUACUGUCCAGCAUCAGUGUGUCUGAUCGCAGCUCCAGUCUCUCUCUACAUCUGGACAUUAAAUGUCUGAAUGAUUCCUACUUCUGUAUUGUAAACAAUCCCAUCAGCAACCAAACAACACUUCUCAACAGCACUGAACUCUGUCAGCCAUGUCCAGACUCGAUUCACUGUUGUGGUUUCACUGAAGCUGUGAUUCGAUUGGUCAUCUCUGCUGUUGUGGGUGUGGCUGCUGUUACCAUGGUGCUUUAUGAUAUCAUAUCCAGAAAAGUUGAAGAGAUGAAGAGAACAUCACAGUCAGUCAUUGAAUAAUGAAUUAAUUAUUUGAAUGAUCAUUAAUUAUUUGUACUUCUGAGUCAGUUCUUGUUAAAAGCCAUGUGCAACAGUCAGUUUUACACUGAUUUUAAACUAAAUGUUUUUAUAUAUGUAGGUUUGCAAUGUUUUGCAAAUAUUCUUGUACAAUUUGCUUGUUGUUCAGUCAGGACUAAAUGGAGUCAGUUUGAAGUGAUCAUCAAGAACUGAAAGUUGUUUGUCUUAAAUUUUUUAUUGGAUUCAUGGAGAUGCACUGAAAUUAUUUCAUCGCAAAGAACUUGUAUUGGAGUGAAAAUAAAAAAUAUAAAGGAAUAUUAUUCAGUCUGGCUGGAGAACAUGUUUGAACAGCUCUACAGGAGGACAAAGUGGCACAGAUUAAGUUUAGUCUGUGUGAAAAUCAUCAGCAAUAAGUUUAACAUAAAAAACAGUUCAAGUCUAGAAUCCUCAGUAUUACACACUCUCGAAAAUAAAGAUACAGGAGCUGUCACUG